rnacentral:rRNA from 1 species
UACGUAGGGUGCGAGCGUUAAUCGGAAUUACUGGGCGUAAAGCGUGCGCAGGCGGUUGUGCAAGACAGGCGGGAAAUCCCCGGGCUUAACCUGGGAAUGGCGCUUGUGACUGCACGGCUGGAGUGCGGCAGAGGGGGAUGGAAUUCCGCGUGUAGCAGUGAAAUGCGUAGAUAUGCGGAGGAACACCGAUGGCGAAAGCAAUCCCCUGGGCCUGCACUGACGCUCAUGCACGAAAGCGUGGGGAGCAAACAGG